UUGAACCUGCCUCACCUCCUGGCUUUGUUCCAUAAAAACCUCUGGGAAACAGGGUCCCUGGGAGACCCGAAGUAAAGCAGAGACAAUGAGGUUUGCUCCUGCCUGACAGGAAUGCAUGCUGUGCUCUGCCUGAAGCUCUUUUCAAAGGCUUUCACCUGGGCCUUGCUCCCGCAGAUGUAACUCCAGUGUCGCCUCCAGGGAGGGGCUUGUGUGACCGCUCACCUCCCUGCUCAGCUCUCGCGGAGGUUCCUAGUUCAUCCACCCGUCAUGUGUUCAUGUCAGUCUCCUAUCUCUCAGAGAGCUCCUAAGAUCGGCUAACCCAUGGCUGACGCAUUCCCCUGCACCUGGCAGCCCAAGUUGAGCAUCGGUCCCUCUGAAGACUGGGCUGACAUCCGGUCUAGGCCACCCUAUGGAAAACCUGCUGGAGUUCUCAAGAGAAGCCAACGCUUUGGGAGCUGUUCUGCGCAUGUACGGCGGGAUCUUGUCAAGCCCCUUUUCCCAGCCAGUUUUAGCCUCGCCCUACCUUCCUGUCUCAGUCUAUGUAGCCCAGGCUGACCUCGAACUGGCAGUGAUACUCCUGCCUCACCCUCCCAUGUACUGGGAUUACAGGCAUGCGCCGCCAUGCCAGGUGCUUAACAUGAUUUCUAAGAGCCCAACGCACCAACAUUCUACACAGCCAGAGUGAAACUUCUAGGAAAGCCAAUUCAAUUUCAGGUCAUUGGUUUUUACCCACCCUCACCUCCACCCUACCUGCCUUGCAUCCAUCUGGUCACGAACCUCAGAACCCCAAGGCUCUUCCUUAUAUCAGGUUGCACCCAAGUUGCUUGUAUUAAACCUUCAUAGAGGGCCAGGGAUUUAGCUCAGUGGUUCCGCCGCCAGCCUCACAAGCGCAAGGUCCCAAGUUCCAUCCCCAGUACCAAAAAAAAACAACAACCCAAAAACCUUCAUCAAUUUAGUCUUUGGGGUGUGGGGCUAUGAUCUUGUUCCACAUGACUACAUCUCCCUUAGGCUGGUGGCUUCUCAAAGGUUACUGGGGUAAUUCACUUGAAAUCUCCAACACGGACAGUUGUAUAGCAGUUUGCAUAAAGUAGUUCUGGUCUAACCCCAGAGAGACUCCAGAAUGCCAUUUAUUACAUAAACAUUUAUUAUGAGUCAGUAAUGUGCUAGAGGGCUGGGGAUUUAGCUCAGUGGUUCUGCCGCCUGCCUCG